rnacentral:rRNA from 1 species
GACGAACGCUGGCGGCGUGCUUAACACAUGCAAGUCGAGCGGUAAGGCCUUUCGGGGUACACGAGCGGCGAACGGGUGAGUAACACGUGGGUGAUCUGCCCUGCACUUCGGGAUAAGCCUGGGAAACUGGGUCUAAUACCGGAUAUGACCUCCUAUCGCAUGGUGGGUGGUGGAAAGAUUUAUCGGUGCAGGAUGGGCCCGCGGCCUAUCAGCUUGUUGGUGGGGUAAUGGCCUACCAAGGCGACGACGGGUAGCCGACCUGAGAGGGUGACCGGCCACACUGGGACUGAGACACGGCCCAGACUCCUACGGGAGGCAGCAGUGGGGAAUAUUGCACAAUGGGCGAAAGCCUGAUGCAGCGACGCCGCGUGAGGGAUGACGGCCUUCGGGGUGUAAACCUCUUUCAGCAGGGACGAAGCGCAAGUGACGGUACCUGCAGAAGAAGCACCGGCUAACUACG